rnacentral:rRNA from 1 species
AUUGAACGCUGGCGGCAGGCUUAACACAUGCAAGUCGAACGAGUGGCGGACGGGUGAGUAAUGCUUGGGAAACUAGCUUAUGGAGGGGGAUAACUACUGGAAACGGUAGCUAAUACCGCAUACCAUCAGAUGAGACCAUGUGUGAUUAGCUUUGAGGUGGGGUAACGGCUCACCUAGGCGACGAUCCCUAGCUGGUCUGAGAGGAUGAGCAUCCACACUGUGACUUGGCCACUGCCCAGACUCCUACGGGAGGCAGCAGUGGGGAAUAUUGCACAAUGGGCGCAAGCCUGAGUCAGCCAUGCCGCGUGUAUGAAGAAGGCCUUCGGGUUGUAAAGUACUUUCAGUCGGGAUGCGUUACCGACAGAAGAAGCACCGGCUAACUCCGUGCCAGCCGCCGCGGUAAUAC